rnacentral:rRNA from 1 species
GUCUACAUUAGAUACCCGGGUAGUCCCAGCCGUAAACGAUGCGCGUUAGGUGUAUCGACGACCACGAGUCGUCGAGGUGCCGAAGGGAAACCGUGAAACGUGCCGCCUGGGAAGUACGGUCGCAAGGCUGAAACUUAAAGGAAUUGGCGGGGGAGCACCACAGCAGGUGGAGCCUUGCGGUUUAAUUGGACUCAACGCCGGAAAUCUCACCGGAUAAGACAGCAGAAUGAUUGCCGGGCUGAAGACUCUGCAUGACUAGCUG